rnacentral:rRNA from 1 species
GCCUACGGGACGCAGCAGUAGGGAAUAUUGGACAAUGGGUGAGAGCCUGAUCCAGCCAUGCCGCGUGCAGGAAGAAGGCCUUCUGGGUUGUAAACUGCUUUUAUCUGGGGAUAAAAAGGCCUUGCGAGGCAAACUGAAGGUACCAGAUGAAUAAGCCACGGCUAACUACGUGCCAGCAGCCGCGGUAAUACGUAGGUGGCAAGCGUUGUCCGGAUUUAUUGGGUUUAAAGGGUGCGUAGGCGGUUUAUUAAGUCAGUGGUGAAAGACGAUAGCUUAACUAUCGAGGUGCCAUUGAUACUGAUGAACUUGAGUGCACACGAGGUAAGCGGAAUGGACGGUGUAGCGGUGAAAUGCAUAGAUAUCGUCCAGAACACCGAUAGUGAAGACAGCUUACCAGAGUGCAACUGACGCUGAGGCACGAAAGUGUGGGGAUCAAACAGGAUUAGAUACCCUGGUAGU